GACGAACGCUGGCGGCGUGCCUAAUACAUGCAAGUAGGACGCAGUUGCGAACGGGUGAGAAACGCGUAGGUAACUACCUAUUAGAGGGGGAUAAAUAUUGGACACGUAAGCUAAUACCGCAUACUAGCAGACGGACUUGUGUUGUAUUAGCUAGUAGGUAGGGUAAAGGCCCACCUAGGCAACGAUACAUAGCCGACCUGAGAGGGUGAUCGGCCACACUGGGACUGAGACACGGCCCAGACUCCUACGGGAGGCAGCAGUAGGGAAUCUUCGGCAAUGGAGGGAACCCUGACCGAGCAACGCCGCGUGAGUGAAGAAGGUUUUCGGAUCGUAAAGCUCUGUUGUUAAGGAAGCGGUACUUAACCAGAAAGGGACGGCUAACUACGUGCCAGCAGCCGCGGUAAUUC
rnacentral:rRNA from 1 species